CCAGGACGUCGCUUAGAGGAGAACGCUUUCUGGUCUAGGUUUCGCUAUUUCACCGCUCCGAGUUUUCGCACGCCUGCCCUCGCCCGCGGCUACUUCAACCGCCUCGCAGACCGAACUGCUUUUCUAACUUAAGAUCGUCUCGGCGAGGGGAGGACGAGCGACUCCCUCGUGCGGACGGAGGGCGUGCGCUCCGCGUGGCGCCGACCCGCCGGCCCAUGGCUGGCCCCGGGGAAGCGAAGCGAAGCUAAGCAGCGUCGUUCUCUCCGCCUGAGGGGUAAGAUGCGAACACGGCGAGCGUCCUGGGACCAGGGAACGCAGCCGGGCUUCCCAGGAAAGGGGCAGGGCGGCAAGGCGGACACUGAGAUGGUUGUUUAAUGGUUUUGCCAGUGUCUGAGACAGAAGAACAGAUUAGAUGGAAUAUAUGUGCAUCCUAAUCUGGCAAUACUUGUGGAUCCAGAAAUUAGAAUAAUAUUUGUUCGGAGUACGUGUCUGUGUCUGACUAAUGCUUGCCGAGUGGAAUUACUGGAUAGCUGAAAUUACAGUACUAUCAAAAUUAACAUGCAAGCAGAUUUAAUACCGGAUCUGAAUUCAAUAAAAGGAAGAUUUGCAAAAUGUAA